rnacentral:ncRNA from 1 species
UCGUCCUGCCUCGUGAUCGUCUUCUCAACCUUCACGCGGGCAGGCGGAUGAACGGAAGACCCUCGUGAGGACGUGACUCACGGGGGUCUUCC